AGGACUAGGAGGCUAUCCACAUUCUGUGAGAUGAGCUGAGUCGAGUGCAGAGAGGGAUGAGCAGCUUUGCAACAUAUGCUAGAAGCAUGCAUGGAGAUGCAGAUAGAGAUGCAUCGAUCCAUUAGGCAAGAAGUGUCUGCCGCUCUUAAUCGGUCUCUAACCAUGCGAGAUGAAGAAACAUUAGAGGAUGGAUCACAGUGGAAGCUAGCAAGUG